rnacentral:tRNA from 1 species
GAGAAAACUCGCAAGGAUUGCUAACCCAUGCCCCCAUACUUAACA